UACGGAGGGGGCUAGCGUUGUUCGGAAUUACUGGGCGUAAAGCGCACGUAGGCGGCUUUGCAAGUCAGAGGUGAAAGCCCAGGGCUCAACCCUGGAAUUGCCUUUGAGACUGCAUCGCUAGAACACGGGAGAGGUAAGCGGAAUUCCGAGUGUAGAGGUGAAAUUCGUAGAUAUUCGGAAGAACACCAGUGGCGAAGGCGGCUUACUGGACCGUUGUUGACGCUGAGGUGCGAAAGCGUGGGGAGCAAACAGGAUUAGAAACCCCCGUAGUCC
rnacentral:rRNA from 1 species